AGUGAACGCUGGCGGUAGGCCUAACACAUGCAAGUCGAACGGCAGCACAGUAAGAGCUUGCUCUUACGGGUGGCGAGUGGCGGACGGGUGAGGAAUACAUCGGAAUCUACUUUUUCGUGGGGGAUAACGUAGGGAAACUUACGCUAAUACCGCAUACGACCUACGGGUGAAAGCAGGGGAUCUUCGGACCUUGCGCGAUUGAAUGAGCCGAUGUCGGAUUAGCUAGUUGGCGGGGUAAAGGCCCACCAAGGCGACGAUCCGUAGCUGGUCUGAGAGGAUGAGCAGCCACACUGGAACUGAGACACGGUCCAGACUCCUACGGGAGGCAGCAGUGGGAAUAUUGGACAAUGGGCGCAAGCCUGAUCCAGCCAUACCGCGUGGGUGAAGAAGGCCUUCGGGUUGUAAAGCCCUUUUGUUGGGAAAGAAAAGCAGCAGGUUAAUACCCCGCUGUUCUGACGGUACCCAAAGAAUAAGCACCGGCUAACUUCGUG
rnacentral:rRNA from 1 species